rnacentral:tRNA from 1 species
GACAAGAUGGCCGAGUGGUUAUGGCGUGUGACUCAAGCGAAAGCUUGCCUUGCAACAUUAAGGUGUAUUCUCAUGGGCUUUGCCCGCGUGGGUUCGAAUCCCACUCUUGUCA